rnacentral:sRNA from 1 species
GCCGGGUGUGGUGGCUACAUGCCUGUAAUCUCAGUAGCUCAAGAGGCUGAGACAGGAGGAUCAUGAGAUCAAAGCCAGCCUCAGCAAUGGUGAGGCACUAAGCAACUCAGUAAGACCCUGUCUCUA